rnacentral:rRNA from 1 species
UACGUAGGGCGCAAGCGUUGUCCGGAAUUAUUGGGCCUAAAGCAUCCGUAGCCGGUCCUACAAGUCUUCCGUUAAAUCCACCUGCUUAACAGAUGGGCUGCGGAAGAUACUAUAGGGCUAGGAGGCGGGAGAGGCAAGCGGUACUCAGUGGGUAGGGGUAAAAUCCUCUGAUCCAUUGAAGACCACCAGUGGCGAAGGCGGCUUGCCAGAACGCGCUCGACGGUGAGGGAUGAAAGCUGGGGGAGCAAACCGG